rnacentral:rRNA from 1 species
CAUGCAAGUCGAACGAAACUUAGUGAACCUCGGUUUGCUAAGUUCAGUGGCGCACGGGUGCGUAACGCGUGGGAAUCUACCCCUAGCUGCGGAAUAACUCAGAGAAAUUUGAGCUAAUACCGCAUAAUGUCGCAAGACCAAAGAUUUAUCGGCAAGGGAUGAGCCCGCGUAAGAUUAGCUUGUUGGUGAGGUAAAAGCUCACCAAGGCGACGAUCUUUAGCUGGUCUGAGAGGAUGAUCAGCCACACUGGGACUGAGACACGGCCCAGACUCCUACGGGAGGCAGCAGUGGGGAAUAUUGGACAAUGGGCGCAAGCCUGAUCCAGCAAUGCCGCGUGAGUGAUGAAGGCCCUAGGGUUGUAAAGCUCUUUUACUAGGGAUGAUAAUGACAGUACCUAGAGAAUAAGCUCCGGCUAACUCCGUGCCAGCAGCCGCGGUAAUACGGAGGGAGCUAGCGUUGUUCGGAAUUACUGGGCGUAAAGCGCGCGUAGGCGGCUCGUCAAGUCAGGGGUGAAAGCCCGGGGCUCAACCCCGGAACUGCCUUUGAAACUAGCGAGCUAGAAUCUUGUAGAGGUUAGCGGAAUUCCGAGUGUAGAGGUGA